AUGAGAUGCCUUUGGAUUCGAU
rnacentral:siRNA from 1 species